GAGGUGAAAACCCUAGAUCGAGAUUGGGCCUCUCCUCCCCCAAUCCCCGCCUCCUGGCUUCCUCCCAAUCAGACGCCUCCUGGCUGCGGGAGCCCCGACGGUGGCGGCGGCGGCAACGGAACAGGCCGACGGCAAGCAGGGCAAGAACUGGCGGCGGCGUCUCGUCUCUUUUCUCUCUCUCCAUAUUGGCCGCGGAUCCGUCGACCUUCAAGGGACGGAGAUGGGCGGAGGCUGUCGAGCCGGCGGCGGCAGGGAGGAUGGCCGCGGUUGGGAGCGGCAGUGGCUUGCAGCGAGCGAUGGGGACGCCUGGACUCGGCCGCAGCAGCGGUAGAGACCGCCCGCCUCCACCUUGGAUCCAGGAGAGAGGAAGAGGAGGGCGGUGACAAGAGGGAAGAGCGGGAAGGUCUUGGGCACGGACAAGAAGCAGCGGAGGCGCGCAUAAAAGAAUCAACAGGGGCAACUAUGCUCCGCCUAGAGGAGCUACAGGGAAGAGGAAGGGGCGGCGCUGGGUGGAGGAGGGGCUUGGUGCGGCGCUGCCCAAUAGUAGGAGCUGCAACCAUGGUAGGCUCAAUCGCUGCUCCCCUUCCUCUCUCCCUACUCCCCAUCUGAUGUAUUUUGUCUUGUGUUUCACUUUGUUUGCUGCCAAGUUAGAUUGAUCUAAUAAUUAGAUUUGUCUGCUUGCUUGCUGGAGCAUACACGGGAGAUGAUGCUCAUGGGAUCUGCCCCUGGCUCGUUGAUAUAUGUUCUAUCCGAGUUCUGCCAGACUGCAUUCACGGCCUCAUCUCCUCCAACCGACUAGGAAAGGAGAAGGCCUAAGGUCCAGGUGAGCCCAACUCCUUCUCACCUCUUCCAUCCGUGAGAGAUUUUUUCUUUUCCGAAUCCCCAGGUUGAUGCCGUAUUUUCUCUACGAAGUCAGAUGUUUCUGGUUACGAGUUAUUGCUUCAGGAGUUCAUUAGUUCGCAGGGCAUCAAUUAUAUGGCAACUUGCUAAUCCUCAGUUGUGAACUUGGAUGUGUAGUCUGCGCUUGCUCCAUUUGAGAGCAUUCUAGGAGAGAGCAGGAGCAUGAGCAAUGGGCAACUCGUGUGUUACUGCUUCGGCUACUGAAGUUGCUUCAUGGUUUAUGGAUAAAUGAUUAAAAAGGGCAGCCCAGUACAUGAAGUUACUCAACCUGACCUUUGUUCAUGUUCUAGAGAUCUAAUUGCAUGUUGCUACUGGAUUUACAACUCCCGAGUGAGCUAUUUUGUCCCCUCGGCUGGCUUAGUUCUCGGUGAGCAUAUCUGAUUUCUAGCUUGGCCUGUGAGGAAUCCACUUACAAGGUAUUUCCCUACUUUUCUUCAAAUCGGACCAUUGUUGAUUUCUUUUACAACCCAGUCGGUUCAGAUUAAUUGCCACAAAACUUAGAAGAGGUAUCAUCCAUACAUAGAAAUUCUAAUAAAUUUACUGGAAUAUCUUUGCUCACUUGAUAGGGUAUAGUCUUCAGUACUUGUGUUCCUUUCAUGGAAUUCAGUACUUGUUGUUAACUAGGUUUCUUUGCUUAUUCUACUGAUUCUUUUGUUCAAAAAGAGGGCUUUCUUCUUAUUUUAACCUUUCUGUUUCUAUAUCAAGGAACCAUGUCUCCCACAGAAAAUGAUCUUUCACUCCUCUGCUUGUCAUCAUAUUUCUUCAUGCAAGAUUGAGCUUGGGCCACAUUGUCCUUUAACCUUGAUAGUAAAGCUUGCUUUUUCUUGUAAGAACUUGUGACAAAUGCCAGCUGACAGGGUGGUCUGAAAAUUUUAUAGAAGCAUUUGUAUGUUCUCGAGCUUUUCGGAGUUGGGAGUUCAAGGGGAAAUGAUAGAAUUUUGUUAUCUGUGAUGCUCUUACGCUCUUUAUUGAUCUCUGCCGCUGAAGAAUGAUCCUUAGUUUCAUUAGCUAUAUUGAUGUCUUCUUUUUGAGGGUAUGUUUGGAGCUUGCGUCAAAUUUUAUUUCUAUUUGCUGUUGUCUUUGGAUUUCUGUUUCUAUUUUCAGCAAAAUUGCGAAUCUUUGUGCUCUUUGCUUAGCUUCCGGUCUAAGCUCUCAUAGCUGCACUGCCUUCUGGCAUUGAAAUGUCUGGUACAUCACAAGCUAUAUUUGAGCUCUUGACAUAAGUGCAUUAGUCUCUCGUGAAUAGAGUCAAGCUUUGUGUCUGCCUUCUUGUGUUACUAUUGUUCAAAUGUAGGCAUGAGUUGCCAUACUUGAUAAGGAAGAGAAUAUAUGAAGCUAGGCCAAAGCUAGGGUGAAUUUUUUUAUUUCUCUGGUUGAACUUUCCUGGCUUAUUUGGUUCUUCCCGAUGUGUCGCCCAGGUUGAAAAAAUUUCCUAUCGUGCACUCAUUCUUAUUUCUUAGGACCGGCAGUGCUGCCAACUCGUGUGGGGCGGGCUAGAAACCAAACUAGACGGUGUAUGUUUAUAAGGUAGACCAGCGGUGAGUGCACCUAUCUUGUGCACCUAUCUUGUGAUGUUGCCAGCGGCAAGGGUUGGUGUCUCCCGUUUUCUCCGACUAAUGAAGAAUCUGAGAAUGCUCUCAAUAGUAUUCUUCUGUUAUACACUCAUAGUCUCUUGUUACCUACUGCAUUUCCAGUGAGCCAUGCUGCUGAAUGUUUAUGGACAUCCAAGCCUUUAGCUUUGUGCUGAUCAUAAGCCACUGCAUUUCCAGUGGGCCAUGCUGCUGAAGCUUUAGCCCUCAAAAGAAGAUUCAAAGAGGCUGCACAUGUUCAAUGUCAGGUACAUCUCUCAAAUCUGCACUAUAGAUUCUACACUUCUAUACUUUCAAUAUGCCAUUGGUUUAAUGUUUUUCAGAUUAAACCUGAUGUGCUGGUUAUUAAACUAAGCAGCAAUAUAUCUACUACACAUGUUGUUGGCAGUGUGAUGUCGUAUUUUUUUUAGAAAGGAUAGUCAUUGGUAUCCCUUUUUGUCCAUGAUGAAGAAUUGGCAGCUUUUGCUGCGUGUGCUUCCAACCAGGCCGAGCUGGUACCUCUCCCUCCCCAUAUUUUCUUUUCAUUUUUUUGGGUAUAGGUUGUAUGAUGUUGUGCGGAACUACAGCUCUUGUUAUAUGAGAGAAGAAACAUAAUGUGAGUAGAUCUAAAAUGGCAGCUCCCCGCUGGCUGCUCCAAGGCUACCAUCUCUCAUGGCACGCUCGUAGCAUGUAAGCCGCGAUGUACAUGAUUGGAGCAAUGAUACCUACCACAUGGAAUCCAGAGCUCGAAGCAGCUCAUGUUGCAGAGCAUCAAGGUCGGCUCCAAUGACUUUCUGUGGAUGCGCUUCGCCCGGAAGCUGUCAUUGUCACCGAGGCUGCAAGACGUCAUGCUGGUGGACUGGUGGUGGCGCUUGACCUGGUGUUGAUCAGAAAAGAGGAGGAGAGAGCAUCGAGGUCCUGGUGGUGGUGCUUGACCUGGUGGCUGUUGUCGCCUAGGCUGCAGACAUCCUCCCGGUAGACAUGGUGGUGGUGCUUGCCCUGGUGGUGAUCAGAAGUUGCCCUGGUGGUGAUCAGAAGAGAGGAGGAGAGAUGUGUAUGUGCAUGGAAGAGAGCAAUUGAUGGAGCGACAAUCCGGGAGCAAACGGAUGGUGAUAACCAUAUUGCAACGUUGAUGGUUGAGCUUUCCCAUUGUCAAGACUAUGAAAAUGGGGAUGGUACCACUGUUGUGGUGGUCUUGGUUGGAUAUAUUUUUUGGGCAGGUUUGCGUCUGUGUGUGUGACUAUUUUGUCCGUUUUAUUUGUUUUUUUUUAUUUUGGUUAACUUGGAAUUGAGGUCAGUUGCCCAGUUGUUGUCUCUCUUUCCUGGUGAAGGUGUAGCAAGCUUCCUGUUGAUCAUGUUUUAUCUUGACACACUGCUACAUAUCUUGAAAUAGCAAGAUCGGCGCUGAAAUCCAAAUAACGGGACAACCGGACAAUGCUGAUGCGGAGACAACAAAGUGUACGUGCAGAUGACGUUGCGGCCACUGAACCUGGAUUUCACAUAGAAGCCUCCUUCUCAGGAGCUAAUUGCACAGGAUAUCCGUGCUUAAUUCUCUUUGCUUCCUGUUGGGGUGUUGCGCUUUUACUCCCAAAUUUUUACAGUCGUCUGCUCAUAGGUACCGAGCUGGGUGAUGAAGCACUUAAGGCAUCAGAACCAUUAAAGAGCACUUGGGAGAUAUCUGCAAACAAAUGUAAGAGCCACGAACAACAUUAAAAGAAGUCUGAACUGAAUACAAGAAUUGAGGGAAGAAAGGGUUAUAGUGCUAAGGGAAAAUUAAUCAAGAGCGAAAUUCUAGCUAGAGGGCACCUUUGCUGGAGGAAAGGAGGAGGAAAGAAUCUGGACGAUGGUACACGAUGCAGAGCAUAUAAUAUAGGCGGUGUAUAAGAAGCUAAAUUGAUCCAACUUUAUGCUGCUCCUUGUGAGGUGUGUUUCAGGUGUUUUCUGUAGGCUCUAAGUUGUUAUUGUAAGUAUUCAAGUGAUUAUUCUGUUUAUUUUUUAUAUAUAUUUUGGUAGACAUGAGUUAUGAAUUGAUCUCAGAAACAGAACCUAUACAAAAUCAUGGCAACUAUGAGUUUCAAUCUAAGAAGAUCUCAGAUAAUUAGUUGGGCCAAAUUACAUUGAGUUGUGCUCACAGCUUACACAGGAUUGAUGGUGAUGUUUCGAUGUGGUGAUUCUCGCUGGGUAUUAUUGAUUCUAUCAUUCAAGAAAUCAAGGUAGUCACUUGUCUGAUGUGUUUGCAGACGCUGUUUGUACAUAAGGCCCUUUUCUGCUGCUCCUUGUAUCGACUGACGCUGAUAGUCAGUGUGCCUUAUCAGUACAUCGUUGAGUUAAUCAACCGGGCUAAUCGCCUUGACGUAAGCUUCUUCACUGGACAUGUGGGUCGCUGAUAGUUAGUGUGCCUUAUCUAUACAUCGUCGAGUUAAUGAACCAGGCUAAUCGCCUUGACGUAAGCUUCUUCACUGGACCUGCGGGUUCCGUGCUACGUUCUCAAGCUGAUGUGAUUCUUUUGCUAUCUGUCUCCACAUUGCCACGUAACUAUAUUGAACUAUAUUGUCUGCUGUAGUAUCAACCUCAUGUGCUAGCUGAGUAAAUACCUAUGUAGAGGCUAUUUUGUGUAGGCGGCAUUUCGAAAGACAUCCUUUUGUAAGUAAAUCCUCUGGCCGGUAGAGGAGAUUAAUAUGACCAUCUCUUGGCAAGGUCUUAUGGCCAAGCUAUGGGCUAAAACUUUAUGUACCAGUAUGCAUGGUAUAGACUAUUGCCCAGACCUGAACUUUUAUCUACUUCUAUGAAUGGCACGGAUUAUUGCCCA